rnacentral:rRNA from 1 species
UACGUAGGCAGCGAGCGUUGUUCGGAGUUACUGGGCGUAAAGAGUGCGUAGGCGGUUUUCUAAGUUUGGUGUGAAAUCUCCCGGCUUAACUGGGAGGGUGCGCCGAAGACUGGAAGGCUUGAGUAUGGGAGAGGUAAGCGGAAUUCCUGGUGUAGCGGUGAAAUGCGUAGAUAUCAGGAGGAACACCUGCGGUGUAGACGGCUUACUGGACCAUAACUGACGCUGAGGCACGAAAGCUAGGGGAGCAAACAGG